AAGGUGCAACGUUGUUCGGAAUUAUUGGGCGUAAAGGGCGCGUANGCGGCCUUAUAAGUCAGAUGUGAAAUCCCUCGGCUUAAUCGAGGAAGUGCAUUUGAAACUGUGAGGCUUGAGUAUGGGAGAGGAAAGUGGANNNCCUAGUGUAGAGGUGAAAUUCGUAGAUAUUAGGAAGAACAUCGGUGGCGAAGGCGGCUUUCUGGACCAAUACUGACGCUAAGGCGCGAAAGCAUGGGGAGCAAACAGGAUUAGAUACCCUGGUAGUCCAUGCCGUAAACUAUGAACACUAGGUGUUGAGGGAGUUAAACCCUUCAGUGCCGAAGCUAACGCAUUAAGUGUUCCGCCUGGGAAGUACGGUCGCAAGACUAAAACUCAAAGGAAUUGACGGGGGCCCGCACAAGCGGUGGAGUAUGUGGUUUAAUUCGACGCAACGCGAAGAACCUUACCUGGACUUGACAUCCCUUGACCGCUAUGGAAACAUACUUUCUCUUCNGAGACAANGAACAGUUGCUGCAUGCUGUCGUCACUCGUGUCCUGAA
rnacentral:rRNA from 1 species